AGCAUAUCAAUAAGCGGAGGAAAAGAAACCAACAGGGAUUGCCCUAGUAACGGCGAGUGAAGCGGCAACAGCUCAAAUUUGAAAUCUGGCUUUCGGGCCCGAGUUGUAAUUUGUAGAGGAUACUUUUGAUGCGGUGCCUUCCGAGUUCCCUGGAACGGGACGCCAUAGAGGGUGAGAGCCCCGUCUGGUUGGAUGCCAAAUCUCUGUAAAGUUCCUUCGACGAGUCGAGUAGUUUGGGAAUGCUGCUCUAAAUGGGAGGUAUAUGUCUUCUAAAGCUAAAUAUUGGCCAGAGACCGAUAGCGCACAAGUAGAGUGAUCGAAAGAUGAAAAGCACUUUGAAAAGAGAGUUAAAAAGUACGUGAAAUUGUUGAAAGGGAAGCGUUUAUGACCAGACUUGGACUUGGUUAAUCAUCUGGGGUUCUCCCCAGUGCACUUUUCCAGUUCAGGCCAGCAUCAGUUUUCGCCGGGGGAUAAAGGCUUCGGGAAUGUAGCUCUCUUCGGGGAGUGUUAUAGCCCGUUGUGUAAUACCCUGGUGGAGACUGAGGUUCGCGCUUCUGCAAGGAUGCUGGCGUAAUGGUCAUCAACGACCCGUCUUGAAACACGGACCAAGGAGUCGUCUUCGUAUGCGAGUGUUCGGGUGUCAAACCCCUACGCGUAAUGAAAGUGAACGCAGGUGAGAGCUUCGGCGCAUCAUCGACCGAUCCUGAUGUUCUCGGAUGGAUUUGAGUAAGAGCAUACGGGGCCGGACCCGAAAGAAGGUGAACUAUGCCUGUAUAGGGUGAAGCCAGAGGAAACUCUGGUGGAGGCUCGCAGCGGUUCUGACGUGCAAAUCGAUCGUCAAAUAUGGGCAUGGGGGCGAAAGACUAAUCGAACCUUCUAGUAGCUGGUUUCCGCCGA
rnacentral:rRNA from 1 species